GUGCUGCCACUGCAUCUCCUAUCCUGUGCUGAUUCACACCCUAAUCUUACCAAUUACUGCAAUGCCAACCACGUGGAUUUUCCUCAUGUCUUUGGCUUGGAUGGAGACAUCAAAAUGAAAAUUUCUCAGCAGCAACUCUCCUCUACCCGAAGACCAGACAGAACAGUGCACAUAAGAUGCAAACUGUCAGGGGCUCCCCUGGAGAAUGCCAUUGUGCACUGGUAUCAAGAGAAAGAAGGGGAGCCCCUGACACGAAUCCUUUAUGGCUCAGCUAAUAGUUAUAAGCUGGACAGACCUAAUUCCCGCUUGGAGAUGGAUAGCAAAGAGAAUGGAAUCUUUUACCUGAUAAUCAACAAUGUUGUCAAGUCCGAUGAAGCCACGUACUACUGUGCCUGCUGGGAUCCAGGUUCAAUCUGGAUCAAGGUAUUUGGUGAAGGAACUAAGCUCGUAGUAAUACCUCCUGAUAGAAGGCUUGAUGGAGACUUGUCUCCCAAGCCCACUAUAUUUUUCCCUUCAGUUGAGGAAGUAAAACUCCAUAUGGCUGGAACACAUCUUUGCCUUCUUCAGAAAUUUUUCCCUGAUGCUAUUAAGGUACAAUGGAAAGAAAAGAAUGGCAAUACAAUUCUGGAAUCCCAACAGGGAGAUAUCAUCAAGACCAAUGACACAUACAUGAAAUUCAGCUGGCUGACCUUGACUAAAAAGGCAAUGGAUAAAGAACAUGUAUGUAUUGUCAAACACGAGAAUAACAAAGGUGGACGUGAUCAAGAGAUUCUUUUUUCUUCAGUUAACAAAGAGGUCGCUAAAAAGGCCUGCAUGAAAAAAGAAAGUGAUACCCUGCAGCUGCAGUUUGCGAACACCUCUGCCUAUUAUACCUACCUCCUCCUCCUCCUCAAGAGCGUGAUCUACUUCUCCAUCAUCGCCUUCUGCGUGUUUAAGAGAACAGACAUCUUCAGCGAUUGGAAGAUUUUCUGAUAGAUGGUGCCCUAAAACGGUCAACUCUCCUUCAUCAUCUACAUAAUGGGUACAUUUUUCUAUUAUUGUGUACUGGUUUUUCAAGCCACUGGGCAAACAGUUUUCCUCUUUAACAAGGAAUUCUGCCAUUAUUCAGGGAAAGUGCCCAGGACUGGUCCAGGGGAUCCUCUCCCCAGCCUGUCCCUACAACCUCAUCAGCUCCUCCAGCCUCCAAGUCCUUGUACCUGCACACAGUGGGCAGCUCCCCAUCUCUUCCCUCAGUACCACCCCCCAGACCAUCACCCUGACCCUCCCUGUCAUGCAUUCUGGGACUGCCAGCUUACUACUUGAAUUCUGUACUUUCUUUUUCAUAGUGGGCAUAAUAAUUAAAAAGAGAAAUCAAUAGCCA